GGCCUAACACAUGCAAGUCGAGCGGAAACGAGUUAUCUGAACCUUCGGGGAACGAUAACGGCGUCGAGCGGCGGACGGGUGAGUAAUGCCUAGGAAAUUGCCCUGAUGUGGGGGAUAACCAUUGGAAACGAUGGCUAAUACCGCAUAAUGCCUACGGGCCAAAGAGGGGGACCUUCGGGCCUCUCGCGUCAGGAUAUGCCUAGGUGGGAUUAGCUAGUUGGUGAGGUAAGGGCUCACCAAGGCGACGAUCCCUAGCUGGUCUGAGAGGAUGAUCAGCCACACUGGAACUGAGACACGGUCCAGACUCCUACGGGAGGCAGCAGUGGGGAAUAUUGCACAAUGGGCGCAAGCCUGAUGCAGCCAUGCCGCGUGUGUGAAGAAGGCCUUCGGGUUGUAAAGCACUUUCAGUCGUGAGGAAGGUAGUGUAGUUAAUAGCUGCAUUAUUUGACGUUAGCGACAGAAGAAGCACCGGCUAACUCCGUGCCAGCAGCCGCGGUAAUACGGAGGGUGCGAGCGUUAAUCGGAAUUACUGGGCGUAAAGCGCAUGCAGGUGGUUUGUUAAGUCAGAUGUGAAAGCCCGGGGCUCAACCUCGGAAUUGCAUUUGAAACUGGCAGACUAGAGUACUGUAGAGGGGGGUAGAAUUUCAGGUGUAGCGGUGAAAUGCGUAGAGAUCUGAAGGAAUACCGGUGGCGAAGGCGGCCCCCUGGACAGAUACUGACACUCAGAUGCGAAAGCGUGGGGAGCAAACAGGAUUAGAUACCCUGGUAGUCCACGCCGUAAACGAUGUCUACUUGGAGGUUGUGGCCUUGAGCCGUGGCUUUCGGAGCUAACGCGUUAAGUAGACCGCCUGGGGAGUACGGUCGCAAGAUUAAAACUCAAAUGA
rnacentral:rRNA from 1 species